GGUUCUUUUAGACUUCUCGUAUGAUAAAUUGAAAGGCACUAUUAUCUGCCUGUUGUGAAGAGGAACUGCUUAGGCUUUGAUAAGAUAUCACUAGUCCCAGGUGAGAGGAGGCUGACAGCACAUCAAGACAAGAAAACACAUGGAAACAGUGAACACAGGAGCAAAAGGAAGAAGCACGACUGCAGAGGAGGAAGGAACUUUUCACAUGGUAUCAGGAAAAUAGUAUUGCAUGUAGAGACUGGAGAGAAGAAACUGCACUCGGCAUAUGAGAAGCUGAUAACUGGGCUAUAGAGGGAAAGCUGGAUUUGAUUGGGCAACAGCAGAGUUCAAAAUGAUGUUUUGACAAGAUGACCUCGCAGAGUUCACAACUACAGACAAAUUUUGAAUAGUCA
rnacentral:lncRNA from 1 species